UGCCAGCCGCCGCGGUAAUACGAAGGUCCCAAGCGUUGUUCGGAAUUACUGGGUUUAAAGGGUCCGCAGGCGGUCUUUUAAGUCAGAGGUGAAAGCCUACAGCUCAACUGUAGAACGGCCUUUGAUACUGAAAGACUUGAGUUAUUGUGAAGUGGUUAGAAUGUGUGGUGUAGCGGUGAAAUGCAUAGAUAUCACACAGAAUACCGAUUGCGAAGGCAGAUCACUAACAAUAUACUGACGCUCAUGGACGAAAGCGUGGGGAGCGAACAGGAUUAGAUA
rnacentral:rRNA from 1 species